ACGAACGCUGGCGGCGUGCCUCAUACAUGCAAGUAGAACGCUGAAGCUUGGUGCUUGCACCGAGCGGAUGAGUUGCGAACGGGUGAGUAACGCGUAGGUAACCUGCCUGGUAGCGGGGGAUAACUAUUGGAAACGAUAGCUAAUACCGCAUAAGAGUAGAUGUUGCAUGACAUUUGCUUAAAAGGUGCAAUUGCAUCACUACCAGAUGGACCUGCGUUGUAUUAGCUAGUUGGUGAGGUAACGGCUCACCAAGGCAACGAUACAUAGCCGACCUGAGAGGGUGAUCGGCCACACUGGGACUGAGACACGGCCCAGACUCCUACGGGAGGCAGCAGUAGGGAAUCUUCGGCAAUGGACGGAAGUCUGACCGAGCAACGCCGCGUGAGUGAAGAAGGUUUUCGGAUCGUAAAGCUCUGUUGUAAGAGAAGAACGAGUGUGAGAGUGGAAAGUUCACACUGUGACGGUAUCUUACCAGAAAGGGACGGCUAACUACGUG
rnacentral:rRNA from 1 species